rnacentral:rRNA from 1 species
AACGAACGCUGGCGGCAGGCCUAACACAUGCAAGUCGAGCGAGACCUUCGGGUCUAGCGGCGGACGGGUGAGUAACGCGUGGGAACGUGCCCUUUUCUACGGAAUAGCCUCGGGAAACUGAGCGUAAUACCGUAUACGCCCUUUGGGGGAAAGAUUUAUCGGAGAAGGAUCGGCCCGCGUUGGAUUAGGUAGUUGGUGGGGUAAUGGCCUACCAAGCCUACGAUCCAUAGCUGGUUUGAGAGGAUGAUCAGCCACACUGGGACUGAGACACGGCCCAGACUCCUACGGGAGGCAGCAGUGGGGAAUCUUAGACAAUGGGGGCAACCCUGAUCUAGCCAUGCCGCGUGAGUGAUGAAGGCCUUAGGGUUGUAAAGCUCUUUCAGCUGGGAAGAUAAUGACGGUACCAGCAGAAGAAGCCCCGGCUAACUCCGUGCCAGC